AGAGUUUGAUCAUGGCUCAGGACGAACGCUGGCGGCGUGCUUAACACAUGCAAGUCGAACGCUGAUGGCCCAGCUUGCUGGGUUGGAUGAGUGGCGAACGGGUGAGUAACACGUGAGUAACCUGCCCUCUUCUUUGGGAUAACGGUCGGAAACGGCUGCUAAUACCGGGUAUUCACUGUCCUUCGCAUGGGGGGUGGUGGAAAGGUUUUUUCUGGUGGGGGAUGGGCUCGCGGCCUAUCAGCUUGUUGGUGGGGUGAUGGCUUACCAAGGCUUUGACGGGUAACCGGCCUGAGAGGGUGACCGGUCACAUUGGGACUGAGAUACGGCCCAGACUCCUACGGGAGGCAGCAGUGGGGAAUAUUGCACAAUGGGCGAAAGCCUGAUGCAGCGACGCCGCGUGAGGGAUGGAGGCCUUCGGGUUGUAAACCUCUUUCGCUCAUGGUCAAGCCGCAACUGUGGUUGUGGUGAGGGUAGUGGGUAAAGAAGCACCGGCUAACUACGUGCCAGCAGCCGCGGUAAUACGUAGGGUGCGAGCGUUGUCCGGAAUUAUUGGGCGUAAAGGGCUUGUAGGCGGUUUGUCGCGUCUGCCGUGAAAUCCUCUGGCUUAACUGGGGGCGUGCGGUGGGUACGGGCAGGCUUGAGUGCGGUAGGGGAGACUGGAACUCCUGGUGUAGCGGUGGAAUGCGCAGAUAUCAGGAAGAACACCGGUGGCGGAGGCGGGUCUCUGGGCCGUUACUGACGCUGAGGAGCGAAAGCGUGGGGAGCGAACAGGAUUAGAUACCCUGGUAGUCCACGCUGUAAACGUUGGGCACUAGGUGUGGGGGCCACCCGUGGUUUCUGCGCCGUAGCUAACGCUUUAAGUGCCCCGCCUGGGGAGUACGGCCGCAAGGCUAAAACUCAAAGGAAUUGACGGGGGCCCGCACAAG
rnacentral:rRNA from 1 species